rnacentral:rRNA from 1 species
AUUGGUGUGGUUGUUGCUGGCCCUUUCGGGGGCAUGUGCACACCCACCAUCCUCAUCUCUCCACCUGUGCACCUCUUGUAGACCUGAAUUGACUUUCCGAGGCAACUCGGUCGGGAAGAUUGCUGUGCUCUGUGAGCCAGCUUUCUUUGCAUGUCUAGGCCUAUGUUUUUCAUAUACCCCUAUAGAAUGUAACAGAAUGUAUCAUUGGGCCUUGUGCCUAUAAACCUUAUACAACUUUCAGCAACGGAUCUCUUGGCUCUCGCAUCGAUGAAGAACGCAGCGAAAUGCGAUAAGUAAUGUGAAUUGCAGAAUUCAGUGAAUCAUCGAAUCUUUGAACGCACCUUGCGCUCCUUGGUAUUCCGAGGAGCAUGCCUGUUUGAGUGUCAUUAAAUUCUCAACCUUAUUAACUUUUGUUGAUAAUGGAUUGGAUUGUGGGGGUUUCUUUUGCUGGAUUCUUCACAGAGAUCAGCUCCCCUUAAAUGCAUUAGCUGGUGCCCCGCGUGGACCAUCUAUUGGUGUGAUAAUUAUCUACGCCGUGGAUGUCUGCAAUCAUAUGGGUUUUGCACUGCUUCUAACCGUCUGUUCAUUCGGACAAUACAUGACAANUUGACCUCAAAUCAGGUAGGACUACCCGCUGAACUUAAGCAUAUCAAUAAGCGGAGGAAAAGAAACUAACAAGGAUUCCCCUAGUAACUGCGAGUGAAGCGGGAAAAGCUCAAAUUUAAAAUCUGGCGGUCUCCGGCCGUCCGAG